UACGUAGGAGGCAAGCGUUGUCCGGAAUUACUGGGCGUAAAGCGCGUGUAGGUGGUGGGACAAGUCUGCUGUGAAAGCGCCUGGCUUAACCGGGCGAGGUCGGCGGAAACUGUUCGACUCGAGGACGGUAGAGGGGGGGUGGAAUUCCCGGUGUAGUGGUGAAAUGCGUAGAGAUCGGGAGGAACACCUGUGGCGAAGGCGGCCCCCUGGGCCGGCCCUGACACUGAGACGCGAAGGCGUGGGGGAGCAAACAGG
rnacentral:rRNA from 1 species